AUUGAACGCUGGCGGCAUGCCUUACACAUGCAAGUCGAACGGCAGCGCGGGGCAACCUGGCGGCGAGUGGCGAACGGGUGAGUAAUAUAUCGGAACGUACCCUGGAGUGGGGGAUAACGUAGCGAAAGUUACGCUAAUACCGCAUACGAUCUACGGAUGAAAGCAGGGGACCUUCGGGCCUUGCGCGAUUGAAUGAGCCG
rnacentral:rRNA from 1 species